rnacentral:tRNA from 1 species
GAGGGUAUAGCUCAGUGGUAGAGCAUGUGCUUAGCAUGCACAAGGUCCUAGGUUCAAUCCCCAGUACCUCCA